rnacentral:misc_RNA from 1 species
AAGUCGUAACAAGGUUUCCGUAGGUGAACCUGCGAAGGAUCAUUAACACGUAUCCAACGUUAAAACCCCUGUGAACUUUCAGCCUGCUCUUGUGGCCCGUGUGAAGCAGCAAUUCCGGUAAAUCAAGUGGGAGGAACAGUUUUGAUUCGGAACCUCUGUAUGGUUCAGAGGGAGUGAUUAGGGCGCGGUGACCCUGUGGCAUGUCUGCGCGGUCGGUGAUCGACCUCUAGCAACCGAGAAGCGUUAUCCUUACACUUUCCAGUGACACUUUCAUUCACUGGAGGCUUGGGGACGCCAUGCCACUGCUUCUACCGCUCAAUUGCAGCGUGCGCAUAUGGAGCGUUGAAAAGCUGCGCUAAAAAAAACCGAACAACUGUUAACAAUGGAUAUCUUGGUUCUC